rnacentral:rRNA from 1 species
CCCGUGGACGAUGACAUUAGCUGCAGAAUAAGCACCGGCUAACUCUGUGCCAGCAGCCGCGGUAAUACAGAGGGUGCAAGCGUUAAUCGGAAUUACUGGGCGUAAAGCGAGCGUAGGUGGCUUGAUAAGUCAGAUGUGAAAUCCCCGGGCUUAACCUGGGAACUGCAUCUGAAACUGUUAGGCUAGAGUAGGUGAGAGGAAGGUAGAAUUCUAGGUGUAGCGGUGAAAUGCGUAGAGAUCUGGAGGAAUACCGAUGGCGAAGGCAGCCUUCUGGCAUCAUACUGACACUGAGGCUCGAAAGCGUGGGUAGCAAACAGGAUUAGAUACCCUGUAGUCCACGCCGUAAACGAUGUCUACUAGUCGUUGGGUCCCUUGAGGACUUAGUGACGCAGCUAACGCAAUAAGUAGACCGCCUGGGGAGUACGGCCGCAAGGUUAAAACUCAAAUGAAUUGACGGGGGCCCGCACAAGCGGUGGAGCAUGUGGUUUAAUUCGAUGCAACGCGAAGAACCUUACCUGGUCUUGACAUAUCUAGAAUCCUGCAGAGAUGCGGGAGUGCCUUCGGGAAUUAGAAUACAGGUGCUGCAUGGCUGUCGUCAGCUCGUGUCGUGAGAUGUUGGGUUAAGUCCCGCGACGAGCGCAACCCUUGUCCUUAGUUACCAGCAGGUUAAGCCGGGAACUCUAAGGAUACUGCCAGUGACAAACUGGAGGAAGGCGGGGACGACGUCAAGUCAUCAUGGCCCUUACGACCAGGGCUACACACGUGCUACAAUGGUAGGUACAGAGGGCAGCUACACAGCGACGUGAUGCGAAUCUCAAAAAGCCUAUCGUAGUCCAGAUUGGAGUCUGCAACUCGACUCCAUGAAGUAGGAAUCGCUAGUAAUCGCGGAUCAGAAUGCCGCGGUGAAUACGUUCCCGGGCCUUGUACACACCGCCCGUC